rnacentral:rRNA from 1 species
ACUCAAAUGAAUAGACGGGGACUCGCACAAGCGGUGGAGCAUGUGGUUUAAUUCGAUACAACGCGCAAAACCUUACCAAGGCUUGACAUGGAGGGCAAUGUUGAGGAAACUCAACAGAGGUUAUCCCGACACAGGUGGUGCAUGGUCGUCGUCAGUUCGUGCUGUGAAGUGUAUGCUUAAGUGCUAGAACGAACGCAACCCUCAUGUUUAGUUACUAACAUUUAGUUGAGACUCUCUAAACAGACUGCCAGGGUAAUAACCUGGAGGAAGGAGAGGAUGACGUCUGAUCAUCAUGCCCCUUAUGCCUUGGGCUACACACGUGCUACAAUGGUUAGGACAAAGGGUCGCCAACCCGCAAGGGGGAGCCAAUCCCAAAAAACUAACCCAAGUUCGGAUUGAGGUCUGAAACUCGACCUCAUGAAGUCGGAAUCGCUAGUAAUCGUGAAUCAGCAAUGUCACGGUGAAUACGUUCUCGAGUCUUGUACACACCGCCCGU